GACGAACGCUGGCGGCGUGCCUAAUACAUGCAAGUCGAACGCAGUGGGUACGGGUGAGUAACACGUGGGUAACCUCCCAUCAGAGGGGAUAACACUUGGAAACAGGUGCUAAACCGAUACUGAUGGAUGGACCCGGGGUGCAUUAGCGGGUUGGUGAGGUAACGGCGCACCAAGGCCACGAUGCAUAGCCGACCUGAGAGGGGUAGCGGCCACACGGGGACGGAGACACGGCCCAGACUCCUACGGGAGGCAGCAGUGGGGAAUCUUCGGCAAUGGACAAAAGUCUGACCGAGCAAUGCCGCGUGAGUGAAGAAGGUGUUCGGAUCGUAAAACUCUGUUGUUAGAGAAGCGGUAUCUAACCAGAAAGCCACGGCUAACUACGUGCCAGCAGCCGCGGUAAUUC
rnacentral:rRNA from 1 species